rnacentral:rRNA from 1 species
AGUGAACGCUGGCGGUAGGCCUAACACAUGCAAGUCGAACGGAAGCACAGUAAGAGCUUGCUCUUACGGGUGGCGAGUGGCGGACGGGUGAGGAAUACAUCGGAAUCUACUUUUUCGUGGGGGAUAACGUAGGGAAACUUACGCUAAUACCGCAUACGACCUACGGGUGAAAGCAGGGGAUCUUCGGACCUUGCGCGAUUGAAUGAGCCGAUGUCGGAUUAGCUAGUUGGCGGGGUAAAGGCCCACCAAGGCGACGAUCCGUAGCUGGUCUGAGAGGAUGAUCAGCCACACUGGAACUGAGACACGGUCCAGACUCCUACGGGAGGCAGCAGUGGGGAAUAUUGGACAAUGGGCGCAAGCCUGAUCCAGCCAUACCGCGUGGGUGAAGAAGGCCUUCGGGUUGUAAAGCCCUUUUGUUGGGAAAGAAAAGCAGCAGGUUAAUACCCCGCUGUUCUGACGGUACCCAAAGAAUAAGCACCGGCUAACUUCGUG